AUUGAACGCUGGCGACAUGCCUUACACAUGCAAGUCGAACGGUAACGCGGGGCAACCUGGCGACGAGUGGCGAACGGGUGAGUAACGCAUCGGAACGUGCCCAAUAGUGGGGGAUAGCCCGGCGAAAGCCGGAUUAAUACCGCAUACGACCUACGAGUGAAAGCAGGGGAUCGCAAGACCUUGCGCUAAUGGAGCGGCCGAGGUCAGAUUGGGUUGUUGGUGGGGUAAAAGCCCACCAAGCCGACGAUCUGUAGCUGGUCUGAGAGGACGACCAGCAACACUGGGACUGAGACACGGCCCAGACUCCUACGGGAGGCAGCAGUGGGGAAUUUUGGACAAUGGGCGCAAGCCUGAUCCAGCCAUGCCGCGUGCGGGAUGAAGGCCUUCGGGUUGUAAACCGCUUUUGUUAGGGAAGAAAUCUUUUGAGCUAAUACCUCGGAAGGAUGACGGUACCUAAAGAAUAAGCACCGGCUAACUACGUGCCAGCAGCCGCCGUAAGAC
rnacentral:rRNA from 1 species